rnacentral:sRNA from 1 species
UCCUAGCCCAGAUAGAAGCGGCAUCCUUUUUUUAUGGCUUUUUCUGCCAUAAAAAAAGAUAUAGCGGAUAGCUGGAAAUAGC